rnacentral:rRNA from 1 species
AAAUACCUAAGGUUUCCUGAGGAAGGCUCGUCCGCUCAGGGUUAGUCGGGACCUAAGCCGAGGCCGAAAGGCGUAGGCGAUGGACAACAGGUUGAUAUUCCUGUACCACCUCCUCACCAUUUGAGCAAUGGGGGGACGCAGGAGGAUAGGAUAAGCGCGGUAUUGGAUAUCCGCGUCCAAGCAGUUAGGCUGGGAAAUAGGCAAAUCCGUUUCCCAUAAGGCUGAGCUGUGAUGGCGAGCGAAAUAUAGUAGCGAAGUUCCUGAUUCCACACUGCCAAGAAAAGCCUCUAGCGAGGUGAGAGGUGCCCGUACCGCAAACCGACACAGGUAGGCGAGGAGAGAAUCCUAAGGUGAUCGAGAGAACUCUCGUUAAGGAACUCGGCAAAAUGACCCCGUAACUUCGGGAGAAGGGGUGCUCUGUUAGGGUGCAAGCCCGAGAGAGCCGCAGUGAAUAGGCCCAGGCGACUGUUUAGCAAAAACACAGGUCUCUGCGAAGCCGUAAGGCGAAGUAUAGGGGCUGACGCCUGCCCGGUGCUGGAAGGUUAAGAGGAGCGCUUAGCGUAAGCGAAGGUGCGAAUUGAAGCCCCAGUAAACGGCGGCCGUAACUAUAACGGUCCUAAGGUAGCGAAAUUCCUUGUCAGGUAAGUUCCGACCCGCACGAAAGGCGCAACGAUCUGGGCACUGUCUCAACGAGAGACUCGGUGAAAUUAUAGUACCUGUGAAGAUGCAGGUUACCCGCGACAGGACGGAAAGACCCCGUGGAGCUUUACUGCAGCCUGAUAUUGAAUGUUGGUACAGCUUGUACAAGAUAGGUAGGAGCCUUGGAAACCGGAGCGCCAGCUUCGGUGGAGGCAUCGGUGGGAUACUACCCUGGCUGUAUUGACCUUCUAACCCGCCGCCCUUAUCGGGCGGGGAGACAGUGUCAGGUGGGCAGUUUGACUGGGGCGGUCGCCUCCUAAAAGGUAACGGAGGCGCCCAAAGGUUCCCUCAGAAUGGUUGGAAAUCAUUCGCAGAGUGUAAAGGCACAAGGGAGCUUGACUGCGAGACCUACAAGUCGAGCAGGGACGAAAGUCGGGCUUAGUGAUCCGGUGGUUCCGCAUGGAAGGGCCAUCGCUCAACGGAUAAAAGCUACCCCGGGGAUAACAGGCUUAUCUCCCCCAAGAGUCCACAUCGACGGGGAGGUUUGGCACCUCGAUGUCGGCUCAUCGCAUCCUGGGGCUGUAGUCGGUCCCAAGGGUUGGGCUGUUCGCCCAUUAAAGCGGUACGCGAGCUGGGUUCAGAACGUCGUGAGACAGUUCGGUCCCUAUCCGUCGCGGGCGCAGGAAAUUUGAGAGGAGCUGUCCUUAGUACGAGAGGACCGGGAUGGACGCACCGCUGGUGUACCAGUUGUUCUGCCAAGGGCAUCGCUGGGUAGCUAUGUGCGGACGGGAUAAGUGCUGAAAGCAUCUAAGCAUGAAGCCCCCCUCAAGAUGAGAUUUCCCAUUCCGCAAGGAAGUAAGAUCCCUGAAAGAUGAUCAGGUUGAUAGGUCUGAGGUGGAAGUGUGGCGACACAUGGAGCUGACAGAUACUAAUCGAUCGAGGACUUAACC